GACGAACGCUGGCGGCGUGCUUAACACAUGCAAGUCGAACGGAAAGGCCCUGCUUUUGUUGGUUGCUCGAGUGGCGAACGGGUGAGUAACACGUGAGUAACCUGCCCUUGACUUUGGGAUAACUUCAGGAAACUGGGGCUAAUACCGGAUAGGAGCUCCUGCUGCAUGGUGGGGGUUGGAAAGUUUCGGCGGUUGGGGAUGGACUCGCGGCUUAUCAGCUUGUUGGUGGGGUAGUGGCUUACCAAGGCUUUGACGGGUAGCCGGCCUGAGAGGGUGACCGGCCACAUUGGGACUGAGAGACGGCCCAGACUCCUACGGGAGGCAGCAGGGGGGAAUAUUGAACAAUGGGCGGAAGCCAGAUGCAGAAACGCCGCGUGCGGGAUGACGGCCUUCGGGUUGUAAACCGAUUUCGCCUGUGACGAAGCGUGAGUGACGGUAAUGGGUAAAGAAGCACCGGCUAACUACGUG
rnacentral:rRNA from 1 species